UGAGGGCGAUGGACAAGGACUCGUGUUCUGCUCACUCAGUGGACGUGUCCUUUGGGAAUCCGAGUCCCUGGCAUCUACUGUGUGAUUUGAUUUACUGACGUGGUGCCUCAAGCUACCUGGAGGUCCCUGGAGAAGGAGGUUUACAUUAGGGGGUGACGCCUCCCAGACCUGAGCCUCAUCUGUCCCUACUUCCCUCCCUUUCUUGUGAUCAGCAGCAUCCCUCCCUCCCCCCUUUCUACCUCCGCUCCAUUCAGCAUCUUUCAGGAAAGAAACUCACCUAAGGCGGGUGUCGGCAGAGGCCAGGUUGCAGGCCAGUGUUUCCCCGCGUGCAGGAUGCAGGCCAGGGUUUCAGCUCAAGUGCUGGCAUCCUCUGCCAACGGCUUGCGUGUUUUUUUCAACUAAAGCAACAGGAUUAAAUGCAUUUUACAUCGCAACUCAGGACAUGUAUGCACACAGGAUGAAAAUGCGUCCUGCGUUGUUUUUCCUACUUUAUUCUAGACUUCUCCAACUCCCGUGUGGGUCCCGGCCCACCUUGCGUCAUGACAAUGUAUGCGUUCCUAAAGCGACGUGAACUCGCGCUCCCGCUCCGAGCCUGCUGGCCACUCGCUCUGUGGAUGCUCAGUUCCUCCCGCCAACAGGCUGAGCAGGAGCUGACUCUCCUGGAACUUGGGGCCAGUUCCCUCCGCUAUUCCAAGUCCGGCUGCUGGGCCCACUGACGCACAGAAUGCGUCUUCGCCUCCAUCUGCCCAAGUGUAAUCCGUGAAUCUGCACGAUGACUGCGCAGCUACGUGAGGAGACGCGCCUGGUUUUAUUUCCAUCUGUAACCUGAGGCUGCAGGCGCCCGGAUGGCGGCGGGUUGCUGCAGGGCCUGGUCUCCCUUCGGGACUUGGCCUCCUGCAGCUCCGAGAGGGCAGCCCAGCGCUGGGCUGCGGCCCGCCGGCGGGCGGGCCCUGCCCCUCCCGAAGGUGUGUCUGGUGACAGGAUCCAACAGGAAACAAUAAAAAUCUGCGUCGAAUAACGCAGGGCAGAGAGCAUGGCAGCUCCGGGCACGCCGACCCUAUAGUCUUCCUUCCUGUCUCAGAAACAACACACGUCCCCUGCGGACACAGCACAGACGAGUGGCCCACGAAGUGUUUUCUAGAGAUUUCCACCUGGGAAGGCGAAGUGCGAAAGGAAACCUCACUGCCCCCAGCUCCUCUGCAGCUUUAGGCGGCGCCGCUAGUGGGGCUCAGUGCGGGCGAAACGAGUUGGAUCCCCAGUGCCGAGCCCCUCUCCCGCCCGGUAGAAGCUCCCUUAACAAUAAUCUGCUAGGUGGUCACUUUCGGUGUCUCGCUUCUUAAAAAAGGAAAAAGAGAAGAGGAGGAGAUCUGUGUUUGGGGAAGCUGCGUGGCAGGCCAUGUGUGUCCUUGCAUCGCCCUCUGCACUGUUCUACACGCACGAAGCACUUUAUUAUCCAAGCAUUUGGCUGGGCACGGAGUUUCCCUGGGGACAGUGACAGUUCUGGAGAUGGAGGGGGGAUGGUAGCACAACGAUGGAAUGCACUUAGUCGCACAGAACUGUACCCUUAAAAACGGUGAAUUUCCAUGUAUAUUUUACCAUAAUAAAAAAAACUUGAAAUUGG